GCGCCGAUAGUGCAACUGCUCAGCACGCGUUCCCGGAAAAAGAAUGAGAUCUGGGUUCGAAUCCCUGUUGACGCA